rnacentral:rRNA from 1 species
AUUGAACGCUGGCGGCAGGCCUAACACAUGCAAGUCGAACGAGUGGCGGACGGGUGAGUAAUGUAUGGGAAACUGCCUGAUGGAGGGGGAUAACUACUGGAAACGGUAGCUAAUACCGCAUACCAUGGGAUGAGCCCAGAUGGGAUUAGCUAGUAGGUGGGGUAACGGCUCACAUCGACGACGAUCCCUAGCUGGUCUGCGAGGAUGACCAGCCACACUGUAACUGAGAUACGGUCCAGACUCGUACGGGAGGCAGCAGUGGGGAAUAUUGCACAAGGGGCGCAAGCCUGAUGCAGCCAUGCCGCGUGUAUGAAGAAGGCCUUCGGGUUGUAAAGUACUUUCAGCGGGGAGGCGUUACCCGCAGAAGAAGCACCGGCUAACGUCGUGCCAGCAGCCGCGGUAAUAC